rnacentral:rRNA from 1 species
ACGAACGCUAGCGGCGUGCUUUAAGCAUGCAAGUGGAACGGGCAGUAGUAAUACUGCAAGUCGCGAACGGCUGAGUAACACGUAAGAAUCUACCCUUUGGCGGAGAAUACCUCGUCGAAAGACGAGCUAAUACUCCAUAAGAUCUGCAAAGAUGAAAGGAUGUAACUAUCCACCGAAGGAGGAGCUUGCGGCCUAUCAGUUUGUUGGUGGGGUAAUGGCCUACCAAGACUACGACGGGUAGGGGACGUGAGAGCGUGACCCCCCAGAAUGGGACUGAGACACGGCCCAUACACCUACGGGUGGCAGCAACUGGGAAUCGUGCGCAAUGGACGAAAGUCUGACGCCGCGACGCCGCGUGAGGGAUGAAGGCAUUCGUGUUGUAAACCUCUUUUGACUAAAGGGAGACCGAUAGUAGAAUAAGCACCGGCUAACUCUGU